UUUUUUUUUUUUUUUUUUUUUUUUUUUUUCCA
rnacentral:ribozyme from 13 species